AUAACGGUCCUAAGGUAGCGAAAUUCCUUGUCGGGUAAGUUCCGACCUGCACGAAUGGCGUAACGAUGGCCCCACUGUCUCCUCCUGGGACUCAGCGAAAUUGAAAUGGUUGUGAAGAUGCAAUCUCCCCGCGGCUAGACGGAAAGACCCCAUGAACCUUUACUGUAGCUUUACAUUGGACUUUGAUAACAUCUGUGUAGGAUAGGUGGGAGACGUUGAUAUAGGGACGCUAGUUCUUAUGGAGUCAUCCUUGAAAUACCACCCUGGUGUUGUUGAGGUUCUAACCUUGGUCCCUUAUCGGGAUCGGGGACCGUGCAUGGUGGGCAGUUUGACUGGGGCGGUCGCCUCCCAAAGAGUAACGGAGGCGUGCGAAGGUAGGCUCAGACCGGUCGGAAAUCGGUCGUUGAGUGCAAUGGCAUAAGCCUGCCUGACUGCGAGACGGACAUGUCGAGCAGAGACGAAAGUUGG
rnacentral:rRNA from 1 species